GAUUUUAUAUGCGCAGAAUAGGUGGGAAGACUUUGAUUAUGUUCUUGCGGGAAAUAUAUGAGUCAUUAGUGAGAUACCACUCUUAUAAAAUUGAUAUUCUAACUUCAUACCGUAAGCCGGUUGAAAGACAGUUUCAGGUGGGCAGUUUGACUGGGGCGGUCGCCUCCUAAAAGGUAACGGAGGCGUACAAAGGUUUCCACAGAUCGUUCAGAAAUCGAUCUUAGAGUGUAAAGGCAAAAGGAAGCUUAACUGUGAGACCAACAAGUCGAGCAGAGACGAAAGUCGGUCUUAGUGAUCUGGCGCUGCUGUGUGGAAAGGGCGUCACUCAACGGAUAAAAGUUACUCUAGGGAUAACA
rnacentral:rRNA from 1 species